GGAGGGGUCGCAUAGUCCGGCCUAGUGCGCAGCACUCGAAAUGCUGUGGGCCCGUGAGGGUCCCGUGGGUUCGAAUCCCACCCCCUCCG
rnacentral:tRNA from 1 species